AUUGAACGCUGGCGGCAUGCCUUACACAUGCAAGUCGAACGGUAACGCGGGGCAACCUGGCGACGAGUGGCGAACGGGUGAGUAACGCAUCGGAACGUGCCCAGUAGUGGGGGAUAGCCCGGCGAAAGCCGGAUUAAUACCGCAUACGACCUACGGGUGAAAGGGGGGGAUCGCAAGACCUCUCGCUAUUGGAGCGGCCGAUGUCAGAUUAGGUAGUUGGUGGGGUAAAGGCCUACCAAGCCGACGACCUGUAGCUGGUCUGAGAGGACGACCAGCGACACUGGGACUGAGACACGGCCCAGACUCCUACAGGAGGCAGCAGUGGGGAAUUUUGGACAAUGGGCGCAAGCCUGAUCCAGCCAUGCCGCGUGCGGGAAGAAGGCCUUCGGGUUGUAAACCGCUUUUGUCAGGGAAGAAACGCGCUGGGUUAAUACCUCGGCGUAAUGACGGUACCUGAAGAAUAAGCACCGGCUAACUACGUGCCAGCCGCCGCAGUAAGAC
rnacentral:rRNA from 1 species